AUUUUGGGCGAUUUUAGGCAAUUUAAGGCGAUUUACCGCCCCAGAGUAGGCCUAAGAUCAGUACUCGAGUAUGCUUUUCAGGCGUUUCAUACUAGUUUACCGCAGUAUUUAUCAAAUGAUAUAGAGCAUAUUCAGAAAGGAGCCUUGCGUAUUGAUCAAGAUUUGAGUUAUACAGGAAACUUAAAAAGAGCAGAACAGGAAACCUUGCAUGACAGACGGACUAUGCUGUGUGAUAAGCUGUUUUCAAAUGUUAUUACGAACCCACAACAUAAAUUGGCUGAAUUGCUACCAACCAAAAAUAUAAACUCAUAUGGCCUGAGAAACAAUAGAAAGUUUAACGUUAAGCGGACAAAGACAAAAAGAUUUAAUAAUAGUUUUAUAAUACAUCAAGCUGCAAAGUUAUAGAUUUAUUGACUAUUGUAAAUAAGAAUAAUAAUUCUAAUGUAAAUAACUACUAAUUGAAUAUUGUAAUUAACUACUUUUAUCACUGUAAUUCAGUCCUCGGACUGCAAUGGUUGAUUUAUAUUGAACGAUUUAAUAAUAAUAAUAAAAGCGUG